rnacentral:ribozyme from 1 species
GGCGCUGAAAUGGAUAUUUGUGGGAUUGGUUCUGCUGGUUGCAGUGAUGUUCCUGAAUCAAGUCAUGAAUUCCAGUAGCUGUUUCAAAUACUCCUCUGAACAUUUGAAUAACAGGUCCUUGAUGCAGUCCGUUUUUCACGACAACGUCAUUCAGAAUUCUCUGGACGCCCAUGAAACCAAAAACGCUUUCAGUGGCAUGUCUAAAAUUUCAAGCGCAUUAGGGUCCUUGAAAAGCCUUUGCGCCCUUUCAGGCGG